CGCGGGGUGGAGCAGUCUGGUAGCUCGUCGGGCUCAUAACCCGAAGGUCGGAGGUUCAAAUCCUCCCCCCGCAA
rnacentral:tRNA from 4 species